UUACAAGCUGCACCAGGAAGUGAGGUUACUGCCUGGAGCAGUGGAGGGAGUGACUGCAACCUGGAUUUGAAGUUUGGAAACACCUUAAUCUUGAGGCCACCUGUCAGUUUGAAUCAGCAUGACAUUGGCAAUUGACUUGAGAGUUAAAAUGUGGUGUUUGGAGAGCUCUGACUGAAGGAAGACAUCUUGCCUGUGCCAGCAGAAGGAAGACAUCUUGGUGGAGAAAGCUGAGUGUACCCAGAUCAUUGAUCAAAAAGGAAUCCAGCAGCCUUCUUGACCAGAGGAAACUUGUAGUGAUGGAGAGCUUACUUAGGGAUAAGCCUGGAGAAACUGCGUCUUAAGGAGGAACUGGAAGGUGAAGAGUGCUAUCUUGAUGACCUGGAAUAAGAAGGAAAUUCUAAGUACGCAUUGAAUUUAAGUUACUCAGGGCAACUAGUACUAAUAUUUCCUUUUUAAUCUCACAUUAUAAAUUCUUUUUCUUAAGAAGAAUUAGAUUUCAGAUGCCUUCUCUACUGGUUGGAUAUGCUCACUUA